rnacentral:rRNA from 1 species
UACGGGGGGAGCAAGCGUUGUUCGGAUUUACUGGGCGUAAAGGGCGCGUAGGCGGCCUCCGCAAGUCAGUUGUGAAAUCUCCGAGCUUAACUCGGAAGGGUCAACUGAUACUGCGGGGCUAGAGUGCGGAAGGGGCAACUGGAAUUCUUGGUGUAGCGGUGAAAUGCGUAGAUAUCAAGAGGAACACCGGUGGCGAAGGCGGCAUCCUGGACCGGCAUUGACGCUGAGGCGCGAAAGCCAGGGGAGCAAACGGG